UUAACUUCCAUAUUCUUCAUCACAUCAGCAUACGUUGUUUUUGUAGCCUUAUUAACAAAUAAACUUUUUGUGCUUUUUAUUUCAGGUCGCAGAGAAACAUAGUGUCACUCUCUCCAUUGCCACUGCUCUUUCCCCCAGUGGUUGAAGCUCGCCUGGUCAUUCCGACACUUCUUCGAAUGAUCAAAGAGAACUAUGCUUAUGGUAAAUUGGUUGCGUUGCAACAAGAGCUCUCAUCGCAGUAAAUAUGUUGUGUAGCAGUAGUGGCUCUCGCGGAGUGAAUAGGUUGCGUUGUACGGCGACUCUUGUGAAAGUAAAUAGGUUGCAUUGUGCGGUGGCUAUGGCAGCGGUAAAUAAGUUGUGUUGCAGCGGUGAAUAGGUUUUACAAUGAGGAGAAUUAGUAAUGAAGUGAUGAAGAAUAUGGAAGUUGAAGAAGCAAGUGAUGUUACGAAAAUAUUUUGAAAAUAAAAAUCAGAUGCA